GGCAGGGGGCGGAGCGCAGCGCAGCGCGGGGCGGCGGGAAAGGGGCGGAGAGGAUAGCUUGGGCUCUGGCGGGCCGCGGGACUGGCAGAACCUGCGGGCGAGGUGGGUGGCUCGCCAGCCGGGACGAAGGGAAAUGAGGACCACCGCUCCGGGGCGCGAGUAGGCGCGUGGAGUCCGGGGGCUCAGCCGCCGCGCCUCUUCCUCCUGCAGCUGGAGACUGCAACAGCGGCGGGUGCACCGGCAGCAGCGACGACCCUGCGCGCAGGUGGCAGUGUAGAAGCCAGACCGGGAGCUUCCAGAAGUGGUUUCUGAAAGAGUCAAAUGUACAUGAGUAAGCAAGCACAGGAAUCUGAAAAACCACAGGCCCACUAAUUUGCCUGCUUGACUAAAAUAAGGACGAGUUAUGUGCUGAUGAGAGACAUGUUUGUAAUGUUAUUCGUUGUGACACAGUUCAAAAGAAUUUGCCUUUGAUUCUCACUAAAAUGUAAAGUUUUGCAUAUUAAGAUCCUUUUUCAACAACUGAGCAACUCUUUAUAAUGAAGGGCAGAAGACGCCAAAGGGAAGAAAAUAUUUACCUUUGUGGGCUUUUACUUUCUUUCCUGGGAAUGGUAGGCCAUAGCUAUUGGUAUGUUUUUUUGUUGUUGUUGUUGUUGUUGUUGUUGUUUUUUGAGAAGGAGUCUCUGUCGCCCAGGCUGUAGUGUAGUGGCAUGAUCUCGACUCACUGCAACCUUCACCUCGGGUUCAAGCGAUUCCCCUGCCCCAGCCUCCUGAGUGGCUGAGAUUACAGGCACCCACCACCAGGCCCGGCUAAUUUUUGUAUUUUUAGUAGAGAUGGGGUUUCACCAUGUUGGUAAGGCUGGUCUCCAACUCCUGACCUCGGGUGAUCCUCCCGCCUCGGUCUCCCAAAGCGCUGGGAUUACAGGCAUGAGCCAGCGCCUACCACCGCUAUUGGUACUUUCACACGGAUGCUAAAGUUAUUGUGCUGGCCGUGUUAAGGGUCAGGCAUCAAAAUGGCCGCUCAAGAGAAUGAAGCUUUCUCUUUGUGCAGAUGCAACGGGUGGGAUGGGGUGCACAAUUAUCACAGUGCUGGUUGUGGUGUUACCUCGACAUUCUGCCUUACAGCUGAGGAGGGAUUUGUUUCGUCCCUGCUAAUGAAGGUGUUAAAUAAACUUGGAUGCUGUUAUUGAAGCUUAAAAAAUAAAUGGAAGCUGGGUGCGAUGGCUCAAGCCUGGAAUCCCAGCACUUUGAGAGACCGAGAUGGGAGGAUUGCUUGAGCUCAGGAGUUCAAGACCAGCCUAGACAACAUGGCAACACCCUGUCUCUACAAAAAAUUACAAAAAGUAGCCAGGCGUGGUGAUGUGCACCUGUAGCUAUGUGUACCUGUAGUCCCACACAGUCGGGAGGCUGAGGUGGGAGCCUCCCUUGAGCCUGGCAGGUCAAGGCUGUGAUGAGCCACGAUCAUGCCACUGCACUCCAGCCUGGGUGUGACAGUGAG
rnacentral:lncRNA from 1 species